UUUCAUUCAUCUCUUUCGUUUCUUUACUUUUUUACUUCAAACACGUUAUCAGCACAUAGACUCUACCUGAAAGAAAUCGCAUGUGAGAAGUCUCCAUGCAUGCGUUGGUGGCACCACUGGAUGUGGCGUCUCCAUCUAGCACGACCUUUCAAGUGAUUUUCUUAAAAAUAGAAUAACAUAAGGUAAUAGAACUAUAAACAUCUACUGACAAUAGUCAGACUAUGUUUUCUAUUACUCCGAGAUCGACACCAUAUUGGUGAUUAUCUUCAAAGUGUUAUCCUAUAUAAAUUGAGGUCAACACAUAUGGCUAUAUGACAUCAGCCAUACUAGAAUUUGCUCCUCUGAAGCAUUUAUUGUUGUUGUUAACUAAUAUAUUUUACUUUCAUAGUAAAUAUUAUUCUUGCACACUUUGCUUGAAUAUGUCAUAGGAAACUACGAAAAUAUUCACAUAUACGUGUAAUUAACUUCUAUUACAUUGAUAAAAUACAUGGCAAUGGAGCCUACGCCACUAUUUCUAAUUAUAGUGUCGUCCAUCCAUCAAGAUGGAUCCCAUAAUGUAUGGCAAUGAUUGAGUGUCACAACACUUCCGCAAGGACCACAUCACAUCGUGGUUAUACUUUCAUAGUGGCUAACCAAUGUUAAGCACAUGCAAGUCUAUACGUUUUGGCAGUGACUCUAAAAUCACAAACUUCCUCAAGAAUGAAGUCCAAAACAUUAGCAAUAAUUUCAUCGCAUGUGUUAUAUUGAAGGAUACACCUAGGCUCACCAAUGAUCACCUUG
rnacentral:lncRNA from 1 species